rnacentral:rRNA from 1 species
GUAAGUUGUAAAGGGCGCACGGUGGAUGCCUAGGUGCCAGGAACCGAUGAAGGACGUGGCCAGCUGCGAAAAGCUGUGGGGAGCUGCAAGCGAGCAUAGAUCCACAGAUGUCCGAAUGGGAAAACCUGGUAUGCGAUAAACGCAUAUCAUCCUUAACUGAAUACAUAGGUUAAGUGACGGGAACUCAGGGAAUUGAACCAUCUUAGUACCUGAAGGAAGAGAAAGUAAUAACGAUUCCCAUAGUAGCGGCGAGCGAAUUGGGAACAGCCUAAACCGACCAUGGUGUUAAAGCCUGGCAGCGUUGCCUGGUCGGUGUCGUGGGAUCAUUGGUUGCGUCGUGCUAGCGGCGCGGAUGUUGACCUGGCUCAUGUAGUCGAAGCAGUCUGGAAAGGCUCACAAAAUAAGGUGAUAGUCCUGUAGACGGCACAUGAGGGGCGACAUGUAAUGACACCCGAGUACUACGGGAUCUGGGAAAGCCCGUGGGAAUUAGCGAGGACCGUCUCGUAAGGCUAAAUAUUACCUGGCGACCGAUAGUGUAGCAGUACCGUGAGGGAAAGGUGAAAAGUAUGCCGGUGAGGCAAGUGAAAUAGAACCUGAAACCGUGUGCCUACAAUCAGUCAGAGGGCUAUGCAGUUCUUCGGAGCUGAAUGCCUGAUGGCGUGCCUAUAGAAGAAUGAUCCGACGAGUUACUGUAUGUAGCGAGGUUAAGCCGUUAAUGGCGGAGCCGCAGCGAAAGCGAGUCUGAAUAGGGCGAUAGUUGCAUAUAGUAGACCCGAAACCAGGUGAGCUACCCUUGGCCAGGAUGAAGCUUUGGUAACACAAAGUGGAGGUCCGAAUGCCUCAACGUUGAAAAGUUGAGUAAUGAGCUGUGGGUAGGGGUGAAAAGCCAAUCGAACCUGGAGAUAGCUGGUUCUCCCCGAAAUAGUUUUAGGACUAGCCUCGGAAUAGAAUCUGAUGGGGGUAAAGCACUGGAUGGGCUAGGGGGCACACCAGCUUACCAACCCCAACCAAACUCUGAAUACCAUCAGAUGUUCUCCGGGAGUCAGGCACAGUGAGAUAAGUUUCUGUGUCGCGAGGGAAACAGCCCAGACCGUCGGUUAAGGUCCCAAAGUAUAUGCUGAGUGGGAAAGGAUGUGGAGGUCCUCAGACAGCCAGGAGGUUGGCUUAGAAGCAGCCAUUCCUUUAAAGAGUGCGUAAUAGCUCACUGGUCGAGGGCUUCUGCGCCGAAAAUGUAACGGGGCUAAGCAUAUCACCGAAGCCACGGGUCUAGUAGUAUUUCGAUACUAUUGGGCGGUAGGGGAGCGUUCUGCCGUAGGAAGAAGGCAUACCGCGAGGAGUGCUGGACGAAGCAGAAGUGAGAAUGUCGGAACGAGUAGCGAUAAGACGGGUGAGAAACCCGUUCGCCGUAAACCUAAGGUUUCCUGGGGAAGGUUAAUCCUCCCAGGGUUAGUCGGUCCUAAGCUGAGGCCGAGAGGCGUAGGUGAAGGGAAACAGGUUAAUAUUCCGUACCAUGGUCAGUUGUUCUAUCGAUGGAGUGACGCAGGAAGUUAUACCCGCACGGAAAGAAAUUGCCGUGUCGAACGGUGUAGGCAGUGAUCGCAGGCAAAUCCGCGGUUGCUAUCAAGCUGAGGCCGGACAGGCCACCGAAUUAAGUAGGUGGAAGGAGUAGAUACCACGCUGCCGAGAAAAGCUUCUAAGAGAGACUGAUUGUGACCGUACCGUAAACCGACACAGGUGGGUGAGGAGAAUAUCCUAAGGCGCUCGAAAGAACCCACGUUAAGGAACUCGGCAAAUUAACUCCGUAACUUCGGGAGAAGGAGUGCUCCGGUAGGGUGACUGGAAUACAUAGGAAACUUUGUAUCGAAAGGUAGCCCGAUGGAGUCGCAGAGAAUAGGCUCAGGCGACUGUUUAUCAAAAACACAGGACUCUGCUAAAGCGAAUAGCCGACGUAUAGGGUCUGAUGCCUGCCCAAUGCUGGAAGGUUACGGGGAGGAGUCAGGAGUGGUAACAUUCCGAAGCUCUGAACUUAAGCCCCAGUGAAUGGCGGCCGUAACUAUAACGGUCCUAAGGUAGCGAAAUCCCUUGUCAGGUAAGUUCUGACCCGCAUGAAUGGCUUAACGGUCUGAGCACUGUCUCAACGUGGGGUUCGGCGAAACUGUGCACCGGGUGAAGACGCCCGGUAUCCGCAUCAGGACAAAAAGACCCCGUGGAGCUUUACUGUAUCUUGAUAUUGGAUUUUGGCCUGUUAUGUAGAGCAUAGGUGGGAGACUAUGAAGUUAGGGCGCCAGCCUUGGCGGAGUCGACAAUGGAAUACCACCCUUAUCAGUCUGGAAUUCUAACCUUGGCCCGUUGAUCCGGGUCGGGGACAGUGUCAGGUGGGCAGUUUGACUGGGGCGGUCGCCUCCUAAAGAGUAACGGAGGCGUUCAAAGGUUCCCUCAGCGUGAUUGGAAACCACGCGUAGAGUGUAAAGGCAAAAGGGAGCUUGACUGUGAGGCAAACGAGCCGAGCAGGGACGAAAGUCGGACUUAGUGAUCCGGUGGUACCGAAUGGAAGGGCCAUCGCUCAACGGAUAAAAGCUACCCCGGGGAUAACAGGCUUAUCUCUCCCAAGAGUUCAUAUCGACGGGGAGGUUUGGCACCUCGAUGUCGGCUCAUCGCAUCCUGGGGCUGGAGUAGGUCCCAAGGGUUGGGCUGUUCGCCCAUUAAAGCGGUACGUGAGCUGGGUUCAGAACGUCGUGAGACAGUUCGGUCUCUAUCCGAUGCGGACGUAGGAUGAUUGCGGGGCUCUGCUCUUAGUACGAGAGGACCGGAGUGGACAAACCGAUGGUGAACCAGUUGUCUUGUCAGAGGCACCGCUGGGUAGCUAAGUUUGGAUGGGAUAACCGCUGAAGGCAUCUAAGUGGGAAACCCACCUCAAGAUUAAUCAUCCCAAUCGAUCGAAAGACGAUGUAAGGGACCAUGUAGACUACGUGGUGAUAGGCCAGAGGUGUAAGCGUCGCGAGGCGUUAAGCUGACUGGUACUAAUAUCCCGAGGAUUUACCCU